rnacentral:rRNA from 1 species
UACGUAGGGGGCAAGCGUUGUCCGGAUUUAUUGGGCGUAAAGAGCGUGUAGGCGGCCUGACAGGUCUGCUGUGAAAACUCGAGGCUCAACCUCGAGAUGUCGGCGGAAACCGUCUGGCUAGAGUCCGGAAGAGGAGAGUGGAAUUCCUGGUGUAGCGGUGAAAUGCGCAGAUAUCAGAAAGAACACCUAUGGCGAAGGCAGCUCUCUGGGACGGUACUGACGCUGAGACGCGAAAGCGUGGGGAGCGAACAGG